CCCUUAGACGUUCUGGGCCGCACGCGCGCUACACUGACCAGUGCAACAAGCAUCCGUCCUUGGCCGACAGGCCCGGGCAAUCUUUGAACGCUGGUCGUGAUGGGGAUAGACUUUUGCAAUUUUUGGUCUUCAACGAGGAAUUCCUAGUAAACGCAAGUCAUCAACUUGCAUUGAUUACGUCCCUGCCCUUUGUACACACCGCCCGUCGCACCUACCGAUUGCAUGGUCCGGUGAAGCCUCCGGAUUGGCGCGCACCUCGGUGCCGCCGAGAAGUUGGCUAAACCUUACCAUUUAGAGGAAGGUGAAGUCGUAACA
rnacentral:rRNA from 1 species